GUCCAUAGCCACACUACCCUGAGAUGCCCAAUCUCAUCUGAUCUCAGAAGUUAAGCAUAGUCAGGCUUGGCUAGUUCUUGAAUGGAAGAAAUCUAGCAGCACUUUGACC
rnacentral:rRNA from 1 species